rnacentral:rRNA from 1 species
GAUGAACGCUGGCGGCGUGCCUAACACAUGCAAGUCGAACGGAGAUUCCGGACGGAAGUUUUCGGAUGGAAGCCUGUAAUUCUUAGUGGCGGACGGGUGAGUAACGCGUGGGCAACCUGCCCUAUACAGGGGGAUAGCAGCUGGAAACGGCUGGUAAGACCGCAUAAGUCGGUUAAAUCGCAUGAUUUGAUCGGGAAAUGAGCAAUCAGGUAUAGGAUGGGCCCGCGUCCGAUUAGCCAGUUGGCAGGGUAAAAGCCUACCAAAGCGACGAUCGGUAGCCGGACUGAGAGGUCGGACGGCCACAUUGGGACUGAGACACGGCCCAAACUCCUACGGGAGGCAGCAGUGGGGGAUAUUGCACAAUGGAGGAAACUCUGAUGCAGCGACGCCGCGUGAGUGAAGAAGUAUUUCGGUAUGUAAAGCUCUAUCAGCAGGGAAGAUGAUGACGGUACCUGACUAAGAAGCCCCGGCUAACUACGU